rnacentral:rRNA from 1 species
UGGGUAACCUACCCAUCAGGGGGGGAUAACACUUGGAAACAGGUGCUAAUACCGCAUAACAGUUUAUGCCGCAUGGCAUAAGAGUGAAAGGCGCUUUCGGGUGUCGCUGAUGGAUGGACCCGCGGUGCAUUAGCUAGUUGGUAAGGUAACGGCUCACCAAGGCCACGAUGCAUAGCCGACCUGAGAGGGUGAUCGGCCACACUGGGACUGAGACACGGCCCAG